UACAGAGGGUGCGAGCGUUAAUCGGAAUUACUGGGCGUAAAGGGCGCGUAGGCGGUGAGAUAUGUGUGGUGUGAAAGCCCUGGGCUUAACCUAGGAAGUGCACCGCAAACUGUCUUGCUGGAGUAUAUGAGAGGGUGGCGGAAUUUCCGGUGUAGCGGUGAAAUGCGUAGAGAUCGGAAGGAACGUCGAUGGCGAAGGCAGCCACCUGGCAUAAUACUGACGCUGAGGCGCGAAAGCGUGGGGAGCGAACAGG
rnacentral:rRNA from 1 species